UACGUAGGCAGCGAGCGUUUGUUCGGAAUUACUGGGCGUAAAGCGUGCGUUAGGCGGUGCCUCAAGUUUGGUGUGAAAUCUCCCGGCUCAACCGGGAGGGUGCGCCGAAAAACUGAGGUGCUCGGAGUGUGGGGAGAGGGUAAAGCGGAAUUCCUGGUGUAGCGGUGAAAAUGCGUAGAUAUCAGGAGGAACACCGGCGGUGUAGACGGA
rnacentral:rRNA from 1 species